rnacentral:rRNA from 1 species
ACGGGUGGAGUAAUGUCUGGGAAACGUGCCUGAUGGAGGGGGAUAACUACUGAAACGGUAGCUAAUACCGCAUAAUGUCGCAAGACCAAAGAGGGGGAACCUUCGGGCCUCUUGCCAUCGGAUGUGCCCAGAUGGGAUUAGCUUGUUGGUGGGGUAACGGCUCACCAAGGCGACGAUCCCUAGCUGGUCUGAGAGGAUGACCAGCCACACUGGAACUGAGACACGGUCCAGACUCCUACGGGAGGCAGCAUG